AGGAGCGGCGCGCUCGCCCCCGCCCGCCCGCACCUCUGGGGACUGGCGCGCGGAGUCGCGAGCCCGGGCUCCCUACUCAGCACUGCCCCGCGGGCUCUCAGCUGCCUCGCAACACUCGAUGCUUUGUUUCAGGCAAUCCAGACGGCUACUCGGAGCGCCCUGGGCGGCUGUGCGCGGCUGUGCCCGGCCACCACCGCGCGCGGUGCCCCGCCAUGCGCCAAAGACGCCAACCCACCUGAGCGCCGGCUGCACCAGCUGCGUGUAGUUGUAGCAUCGCUCCAGGACGAUUUCUUGAAAAUGGGCAGUGCUGCCCGUCCCGUUCCACUUCAUGGGCUCGGACGAGCGGCGCCGCAUCCGGAUUCCGACCACCACCGCGAUGACCCCCGCCGCCAGAAGACAUAGAAACAUGCAGAGACAGAUCUUGGCUUUCUUGGGUCUGGGGUCGGCCAUGGGGUCCAACGCGGGUCGCCCGGGCGAAGCUGGAGGCUGGGCAGGCAGGGAGGAGAGAGCUAGCCCGGUUCUGAAACUGCACUUCCCCUUUAUCUCUCACUUGCCUUUCCUCCGCUUCCUUUCCCACCCCUCUCACCUCCUUCAAAGUUCUUCGAUCGCGGUCGCUCGACCAACAAGGAUUUCAAGGUCUUAAAAAGCCUUCAGCACCUACUACAGCCGCUCACUUCUCGACUCCUGAGCAGAGAGCCACCACCUUGACCUUACUUGGCAGGCGCUCAAAGAACAGCGGGAGUGCAGCCGUGUACUCCUCAGCUGGCUCCCUUGAUCAAGCCGCACUUCACACUUUACCCACACCUGCUUCCUGGACAGCGUCAAGGCGACUGUCUGCCUCCGCACCUGUGUACAUGCAAUGCCUUCUGCCCGCAAAGGAAGGCUCUACCUCUACUUAUAACGUUGAGGAAGACCUGCUCAGCCCCCUGUAAAGGCUCUACUUAAGCCUUAUGCCUUCUCUCCAUCGGCAUCAGAUUAAGCUAUGGGUUCAAACUGAGCUCUGGCUGGGUGAUGUGGGCAAAAUGAAACUGAAAGAAAAUGGAAAAUUGUGUUUCUAAAGCCUACCAUCUCCCAGCCACCCACUGGAACUCCAGAUGAAUUCAUGUACAAUUGAGAUGGACCCAAUACUUAGUCAAGAGAUCCAUGUUAGCAGGACACCAAGAUACCUGGUGGCAAAGUCUUUUGGGAAUCUUGGUUCCUAGUGCAGGAGUAUGUGUAAAGAAAAAUAUGAUUAGAAAUCUAUCAUCACCAUUGGUCAAAUAGCCAAGAAGACUGCAAAAAGCAUUGCAGCACAACAGACAUGCCUAAACUCCUUAGCCCAAGUAAUAUUAGAUAACAGGAUUGCCUUAGAUUCUAUGCUGGCUAAACAAGCAGUUGUUUGUGCUAUUGCUCAUACUACUUGUUGCAUUUGUAUCCAUACCUCUGGAGCAGUUGAAAUUCACCUAGAAAAAAUUUCCCAAAAGAUAAAAUGGUUACAAGAUGUAAGACAAACUGACCCUUUAAAUGAGCUGUUCAGUUAGCUCCCCUCAGGAAUAGACAAUUUUUUCUGCUUUGCUUUAUAGAUGAUUGUCAUUGUCAUAGUAUGUAUUACUAUCUUUUCGUAGCUAUUAAACU